rnacentral:rRNA from 1 species
UACGGAGGGUGCAAACGUUGCUCGGAAUCAUUGGGCGUAAAGCGCACGUAGGUGGUUUGUUAAGUCGGGUGUGAAAUCCCUGGGCUCAACCCAGGAAGUGCACUCGAAACUGGCAGACUUGAGUACUGAAGAGGGUCGCGGAAUUCCCGGUGUAGAGGUGAAAUUCGUAGAUAUCGGGAGGAACACCAGUGGCGAAGGCGGCGACCUGGUGCGAUACUGACGCUGAGGUGCGAAAGCGUGGGGAGCAAACAGG